UGGGGCACGGCAGGAGAUCGAACCGACGGUCGUUCGCACGAAGCGUAGAACGCUUUUUUUGUGGUGCUCCGAGGUCGAGGACCCCGUACCCACAUGAUAUUCCGCACUCGAGAGACCGAGCGAACCGUCGUGGUUCGUCGAACMGAAUGCCGYUUCAMGGGCAAACGGGGCGCGAGACACGACGGGCGCUGUUUAGCCCACCCMGCACCGCCAACCCUWGAAGGGCAGCAGCACGAGACGGGAAUGRUAUGAUGGUAGCCGAUAGAAUGCCCUCGUGAUAGGUAUGCARUACAGGAAAACCAACGUCGGACGAGCACUUGCUCGCGCCAACAACUGAAGAGACGCGGACGAGAUGCCGUCGCUG
rnacentral:misc_RNA from 1 species